AACGAACGCUGGCGGCAGGCCUAACACAUGCAAGUCGAGCGCCCCGCAAGGGGAGCGGCGGACGGGUGAGUAACGCGUGGGAACGUACCCUUUGCUACGGAAUAGCCUCGGGAAACUGGGAGUAAUACCGUAUGUGCCCUUCGGGGGAAAGAUUUAUCGGCAAAGGAUCGGCCCGCGUUGGAUUAGGUAGUUGGUGGGGUAAUGGCCUACCAAGCCGACGAUCCAUAGCUGGUUUGAGAGGAUGAUCAGCCACACUGGGACUGAGACACGGCCCAGACUCCUACGGGAGGCAGCAGUGGGGAAUCUUAGACAAUGGGCGCAAGCCUGAUCUAGCCAUGCCGCGUGAGCGAUGAAGGCCUUAGGGUUGUAAAGCUCUUUCAGGGGGGAAGAUAAUGACUGUACCCCCAGAAGAAGCCCCGGCUAACUCCGUGCCAGCAGCCGCAGUAA
rnacentral:rRNA from 1 species